GAGUUUGAUCGUGGCUCAGAUUGAACGCUGGCGGCAUGCCUUACACAUGCAAGUCGAACGGUAACAGGUCUUCGGAUGCUGACGAGUGGCGAACGGGUGGGUAAUACAUCGGAACGUGCCCAGACGUGGGGGAUAACGAGGCGAAAGCUUUGCUAAUACCGCAUACGAUCUAAGGAUGAAAGCAGGGACCGCAAGGCCUUGCGCGUUUGGAGCGGCCGAUGGCAGAUUUAGGUAGUUGGUGGGAUAAAAGCUUACCAAGCCGACGAUCUGUAGCUGGUCUGAGAGGACGACCAGCCACACUGGGACUGAGACACGGCCCAGACUCCCUACGGGAGGCAGCAGUGGGGAAUUUUGGACAAUGGGCGAAAGCCUGAUCCAGCAAUGCCGCGUGCAGGAUGAAGGCCUU
rnacentral:rRNA from 1 species